GUUGUAUGGUUAAGUGACUAAGCGUACACGGUGGAUGCCUUGGCAGUCAGAGGCGAUGAAAGACGUAGUAACUUGCGAUAAGCCCAGAUUAGGUAGUAACAACCAUUUGAGUCUGGGAUUUCUGAAUGGGGAAACCCACUUACAUAAGUAAGUAUCAUUAACUGAAUACAUAGGGUAAGGAGGCGAACCGGGGGAACUGAAACAUCUAAGUACCCCGAGGAAAAGAAAUCAACCGAGAUUCCGAAAGUAGCGGCGAGCGAAAUUGGACUAGCCCUUAAGCUUUACACGCGUUAGACGAACGGUCUGGAAAGUCCGACGAUACAGGGUGAUAGUCCCGUAGUUGACGACGUGUGUUCAGUGAAAUCGAGUAGGGCGGGACACGUGAUAUCCUGUCUGAAUAUGGGGGGACCAUCCUCCAAGGCUAAAUACUACUGACUGACCGAUAGUGAACCAGUACCGUGAGGGAAAGGCGAAAAGAACCCCUGUGAGGGGAGUGAAAUAGAACCUGAAACCGUGUACGUACAAGCAGUAGGAGCAGGCUUUGUCCUGUGACUGCGUACCUUUUGUAUAAUGGGUCAGCGACUUAUAUUCAGUGGCAAGGUUAACCAUCUAGGGGAGCCGUAGGGAAACCGAGUCUUAACUGGGCGUUCAGUCUCUGGAUAUAGACCCGAAACCAGGUGAUCUAGCCAUGGGCAGGUUGAAGGUUGAGUAACAUCAACUGGAGGACCGAACCGACUAAUGUUGAAAAAUUAGCGGAUGACUUGUGGCUAGGGGUGAAAGGCCAAUCAAACCUGGAGAUAGCUGGUUCUCCCCGAAAGCUAUUUAGGUAGCGCCUCGGACGAAUACUACUGGGGGUAGAGCACUGUUAAGGCUAGGGGGUCAUCCCGACUUACCAACCCUUUGCAAACUCCGAAUACCAGUAAGUACUAUCCGGGAGACACACGGCGGGUGCUAACGUCCGUCGUGGAGAGGGAAACAACCCAGACCGCCAGCUAAGGUCCCAAAUUACUACUAAGUGGGAAACGAUGUGGGAAGGCUCAGACAGCCAGGAUGUUGGCUUAGAAGCAGCCAUCAUUUAAAGAAAGCGUAAUAGCUCACUGGUCGAGUCGGCCUGCGCGGAAGAUGUAACGGGGCUAAGUAGUAAACCGAAGCUGCGGCAAUAUACUUUUGUAUAUUGGGUAGGGGAGCGUUCUGUAAGCGGUUGAAGGUGUGUGGUAACGCAUGCUGGACGUAUCAGAAGUGCGAAUGCUGACAUGAGUAACGAUAAAGGGGGUGAAAAACCUCCUCGCCGGAAGACCAAGGGUUCCUGUCCAACGUUAAUCGGGGCAGGGUAAGUCGACCCCUAAGGCGAGGCCGAAAGGCGUAGUCGAUGGGAAACGGGUUAAUAUUCCCGUACUUCUUACAAUUGCGAUGGGGGGACGGAGAAGGCUAGGUGGGCCUGGCGACGGUUGUCCAGGUUCAAGUGCGUAGGCUUAAGAGUUAGGUAAAUCCGGCUCUUUUUAAGGCUGAGACACGACGUCGAGCACCUACGGGUGUGAAGUCAUUGAUGCCAUGCUUCCAGGAAAAGCCUCUAAGCUUCAGAUUGUAAGGAAUCGUACCCCAAACCGACACAGGUGGUCGGGUAGAGAAUACCAAGGCGCUUGAGAGAACUCGGGUGAAGGAACUAGGCAAAAUGGUACCGUAACUUCGGGAGAAGGUACGCUCUUGAUGGUGAAGUCCCUUGCGGAUGGAGCUGACGAGAGUCGCAGAUACCAGGUGGCUGCAACUGUUUAUUAAAAACACAGCACUGUGCAAAAUCGUAAGAUGACGUAUACGGUGUGACGCCUGCCCGGUGCCGGAAGGUUAAUUGAUGGGGUUAGACUUCGGUCGAAGCUCUUGAUCGAAGCCCCGGUAAACGGCGGCCGUAACUAUAACGGUCCUAAGGUAGCGAAAUUCCUUGUCGGGUAAGUUCCGACCUGCACGAAUGGCGUAAUGAUGGCCACGCUGUCUCCACCCGAGACUCAGUGAAAUUGAAAUCGCUGUGAAGAUGCAGUGUACCCGCGGCUAGACGGAAAGACCCCGUGAACCUUUACUACAGCUUGGCACUGAACAUUGACCCUACAUGUGUAGGAUAGGUGGGAGGCUUUGAAGCACGUACGCCAGUAUGUGUGGAGCCGUCCUUGAAAUACCACCCUUGUAGUGUUGAUGUUCUAACGUCGACCCCUAAUCGGGGUUGCGGACAGUGCCUGGUGGGUAGUUUGACUGGGGCGGUCUCCUCCCAAAGAGUAACGGAGGAGCACGAAGGUGGGCUAAUCACGGUUGGACAUCGUGAGGUUAGUGCAAUGGCAUAAGCCCGCUUGACUGCGAGAAUGACAAUUCGAGCAGGUGCGAAAGCAGGUCAUAGUGAUCCGGUGGUUCUGAAUGGAAGGGCCAUCGCUCAACGGAUAAAAGGUACUCCGGGGAUAACAGGCUGAUACCGCCCAAGAGUUCAUAUCGACGGCGGUGUUUGGCACCUCGAUGUCGGCUCAUCACAUCCUGGGGCUGAAGUCGGUCCCAAGGGUAUGGCUGUUCGCCAUUUAAAGUGGUACGCGAGCUGGGUUUAGAACGUCGUGAGACAGUUCGGUCCCUAUCUGCCGUGGGCGUUGGAAGAUUGAAGGGGGCUGCUCCUAGUACGAGAGGACCGGAGUGGACGAACCUCUGGUGUUCGGGUUGUGUCGCCAGACGCAUUGCCCGGUAGCUAAGUUCGGAAUCGAUAACCGCUGAAAGCAUCUAAGCGGGAAGCGAGCCCUGAGAUGAGUCUUCCCUGAUACUUUAAGUAUCCUAAAGGGUUGUCGGAGACUACGACGUUGAUAGGUCAGGUGUGUAAGUGCUGUGAGGCAUUGAGCUAACUGAUACUAAUUGCCCGUGAGGCUUAACCAUACAACACCCAAGGGGUUU
rnacentral:rRNA from 17 species